GUGAAUAAGAUGAAGAAGUCCAUCAGAAGUAGCAACCAGGAGAUCUUCCAACACAGACUGCAAACGAAUCAGAAAUCCUGAAAGAAAUGAAAGACUAUGGGCACUCACAGUCACAAACUUGAUAACUGAUAAAACUAGUUAAAAACUACAAAUAUUGGGUGCUAUACUGUGUGCUGGAUAUUCGAGGAUGAAUAAAAUAUUCUCCGUCUUCAGAGGACUUCUCAGGCAAGAAAUCAAAAAUAGUUACAUAGCAUGAUCUCAUCACUUAUCAAUAUUUAUGAAGAUAUUCAGCAUUUACUUCUUUAAUGGGGAAAUAGCCUGUUUUGCUCACCUCUGUAUGCACAGCCCCAAGGGCAGUGUUAGUUAAAUCUGUCACUAAAUAUUUGUGCAAAGGAGGCAAGAAGAGGGAAAGGGUUAGAGGAAAGAGGAACCCAUAAAUGAGACCGCAAAGGUACUGGCACAAAGAAAAAGACAACCAGGGAAACCAGUAGAAACUGAUAUCAAGAAAGCCAAGGAAGUAAGAUGAAUUUAAGAAAGAGUGUUCAAAGUAUCAAAUACUAUAUAAGGAAAAACAAAAAAUGUUAUGUGUAUAUUAUAUAUACCCUAUUAAAUACUAUUAAAUUCCUUUUCAUACU
rnacentral:lncRNA from 1 species